ACGAUCUUACUUGAACAGGAUUUGUUCUAUAGGAUUGUAUUACUCUGUCCUUGAUUUCUAAGGAGACGGGAACAUACUUCUGGUGGAUGAACCAUGACCAUGUGAUCAGAGCGUGAUUAACGGGUGGGAUGAAGUCUCGUCUGCGAGACCUCAACCUUCGCUGUGGAGCAUCGUUCUCAGCCAGUUUCACCUGACUGGGGUGGUCACACACACGGUGUUCUGACAGUCU